rnacentral:rRNA from 1 species
UUUAUGGAGAGUUUGAUCCUGGCUCAGGAUGAACGCUGGCGGCGUGCCUAAUACAUGCAAGUCGAGCGAACGGACGAGAAGCUUGCUUCUCUGAUGUUAGCGGCGGACGGGUGAGUAACACGUGGAUAACCUACCUAUAAGACUGGGAUAACUUCGGGAAACCGUAGCUAAUACCGGAUAAUAUUUUGAACCGCAUGGUUCAAAAGUGAAAGACGGUCUUGCUGUCACUUAUAGAUGGAUCCGCGCUGCAUUAGCUAGUUGGUAAGGUAACGGCUUACCAAGGCAACGAUGCAUAGCCGACCUGAGAGGGUGAUCGGCCACACUGGAACUGAGACACGGUCCAGACUCCUACGGGAGGCAGCAGUAGGGAAUCUUCCGCAAUGGGCGAAAGCCUGACGGAGCAACGCCGCGUGAGUGAUGAAGGUCUUCGGAUCGUAAAACUCUGUUAUUAGGGAAGAACAUAUGUGUAAGUAACUGUGCACAUCUUGACGGUACCUAAUCAGAAAGCCACGGCUAACUACGUGCCAGCAGCCGCGGUAAUACGUAGGUGGCAAGCGUUAUCCGGAAUUAUUGGGCGUAAAGCGCGCGUAGGCGGUUUUUUAAGUCUGAUGUGAAAGCCCACGGCUCAACCGUGGAGGGUCAUUGGAAACUGGAAAACUUGAGUGCAGAAGAGGAAAGUGGAAUUCCAUGUGUAGCGGUGAAAUGCGCAGAGAUAUGGAGGAACACCAGUGGCGAAGGCGACUUUCUGGUCUGUAACUGACGCUGAUGUGCGAAAGCGUGGGGAUCAAACAGGAUUAGAUACCCUGGUAGUCCACGCCGUAAACGAUGAGUGCUAAGUGUUAGGGGGUUUCCGCCCCUUAGUGCUGCAGCUAACGCAUUAAGCACUCCGCCUGGGGAGUACGACCGCAAGGUUGAAACUCAAAGGAAUUGACGGGGGCCCGCACAAGCGGUGGAGCAUGUGGUUUAAUUCGAAGCAACGCGAAGAACCUUACCAAAUCUUGACAUCCUUUGACAACUCUAGAGAUAGAGCCUUCCCCUUCGGGGGACAAAGUGACAGGUGGUGCAUGGUUGUCGUCAGCUCGUGUCGUGAGAUGUUGGGUUAAGUCCCGCAACGAGCGCAACCCUUAAGCUUAGUUGCCAUCAUUAAGUUGGGCACUCUAAGUUGACUGCCGGUGACAAACCGGAGGAAGGUGGGGAUGACGUCAAAUCAUCAUGCCCCUUAUGAUUUGGGCUACACACGUGCUACAAUGGACAAUACAAAGGGCAGCGAAACCGCGAGGUCAAGCAAAUCCCAUAAAGUUGUUCUCAGUUCGGAUUGUAGUCUGCAACUCGACUACAUGAAGCUGGAAUCGCUAGUAAUCGUAGAUCAGCAUGCUACGGUGAAUACGUUCCCGGGUCUUGUACACACCGCCCGUCACACCACGAGAGUUUGUAACACCCGAAGCCGGUGGAGUAACCUUUUAGGAGCUAGCCGUCGAAGGUGGGACAAAUGAUUGGGGUGAAGUCGUAACAAGGUAGCCGUAUCGGAAGGUGCGGCUGGAUCACCUCCUUUCU